UACGAAGGGGGCUAGCGUUGCUCGGAAUGACUGGGCGUAAAGGGCGCGUAGGCGGCUCAUACAGUCAGGCGUGAAAUUCCUGGGCUCAACCUGGGGACUGCGCUUGGGACGUGUGGGCUUGAGUGGGGAAGAGGGUCGUGGAAUUCCCAGUGUAGAGGUGAAAUUCGUAGAUAUUGGGAAGAACACCGGUGGCGAAGGCGGCGACCUGGUCCUUGACUGACGCUGAGGCGCGAAAGCGUGGGGAGCAAACAGG
rnacentral:rRNA from 1 species